AAAAGCUUUCUUUAAUUAAAUAAUUGAAUUUAAUUUUUUAGUGCAAAAGCAAAAAUAAAAAUUAGGGACAAGAAGACCCUAUGAAUUUUUUAUUAAAUUUUAUAAAACUUUAUAUAAAAUUUAAUUUAAUUGGGGUGAUGGAAAAAGAAUAAAUAUCUUUUUUUUAAAAGAAAAUUGGUUCCGUUUUUAGCGAUUAAAUGAAAAAAAUACUCUAGGGAUAACAGCGUAAUAAUUUUGGAUAGUUCAUAUAGAUAAAAUAGUUUGCGACCUCGAUGUUGGAUUAGGAUUCUUUUUUGGUGAAGAAGUUAAAAAAAGAAGUUUGUUCAACUUAUAAUUUCCUACUUGAUCUGAGUUCAGACCGG
rnacentral:rRNA from 1 species